rnacentral:lncRNA from 1 species
AUUGUUUUUGAUUACUUUGUGUAUAAAUUUUGUGUUGAAAAUGUAGAGAAGGAGGAGUGCAGAUGAUUUUAUAUUUGUCUUGUGACAUAGUUAUUUAAAAGUUAGCUAUAUAUAUUAUAUAUCAUAUUUAUAAUUAACUUUGAAUAUUUUAAACGAAGAAUCAAACCAAACAAAAAGGUUUCAAAUCGAAUAAUCAUAAGAAAAAUUAUAUAGAGUAACACCAAAAUAUAUUUUUAUUCCACAAUAUUACUUAAAAGAGAGAGAAAAAUAAUUUAUUUCUAUAAAUCAAUUAUAUUAUUUUAAAAUUUGUAAAUUUCUAAAAUAUUUUUAAAACCACAUUAUUCAUAAUAUUUAUCUAGAAAAAUCGUAAAAAAAUUUCACCAACCAACCAUUAUUCAGGGUUGGUAUGAAGCAUAGACAAGAGAACCAACCGAUUAAAGCAUCAUAUUUUAAGCAAAAAAUUUUAGUUGUAUACAUGGCACAAUUUUUUUAAAAUGAAUAAUAAUUGCUCAUACACCACAUCGGGCACAUUGACUAAGCUGCUCUUCGGGUCGUAUCGAUUGGUUGCAUAAAGUUUUAAGUGAGCUUAGGGAAUCAAGAAAAAAAAUGAAAAUGUUAAACUGGCAUUGCGUUUAUUCUAUCAAAACGCACAUAUCCUGCAAACCACAUUAGUGACAGUUACACCAUACCACACUUUAGUUUCACACUAUUUAUAUUAUCAAAACCGUUCAGACUUUCAGAUAUGCCUUCGGAUACUGUGUGUUUAUAACCGAUAUGCUUCGGAUGGAAUCGAGAAGAGUAUGACACUAUCUCACAAGAUAUGUGGUUGUGACCAUUUAGGCAUUUACAUAAGCUUUUCACCGUUUACAUUUUACAAGGAAGAAUCAUUUUCACACAAACGGUGUAUGGGUCAAACCAAUC